GUGUCAGCCGCCGCGGUAAUACAGAGGGUGCGAGCGUUAAUCGGAUUUACUGGGCGUAAAGCGUGCGUAGGCGGCUGAUGAAGUCGGAUGUGAAAUCCCUGAGCUUAACUUAGGAAUUGCAUUCGAUACUGGUCAGCUAGAGUAUGGGAGAGGAUGGUAGAAUUCCAGGUGUAGCGGUGAAAUGCGUAGAGAUCUGGAGGAAUACCGAUGGCGAAGGCAGCCAUCUGGCCUAAUACUGACGCUGAGGUACGAAAGCAUGGGGAGCAAACAGGAUUAGAUACCCUGGUAGUCCAUGCCGUAAACGAUGUCUACUAGCCGUUGGGGGAUUUGAUCCUUUAGUGGCGCAGCUAACGCGAUAAGUAGACCGCCUGGGGAGUACGGUCGCAAGACUAAAACUCAAAUGAAUUGACGG
rnacentral:rRNA from 1 species